CGAGCGGCGAACGGGUGAGUAACGCGUGGAUAUCUACCCUGAGGUGGGGGAUAACCCGGGGAAACUCGGGCUAAUACCGCAUGAUACCGAGAGGUCAAAGGGGGCUUCGGCUUCCGCCAUGGGAUGAGUCUGCGUCCGAUUAGCUAGUUGGUGAGGUAAUGGCUCACCAAGGCGACGAUCGGUAGCCGGCCUGAGAGGGUGAUCGGCCACACUGGAACUGAGACACGGUCCAG
rnacentral:rRNA from 1 species